UACGGAGGGUGCAAGCGUAUCCGGAUCACUGGGUUUAAAGGGUGCGUAGGCGGGCAGGUAAGUCAGUGGUGAAAUCUCCGGGCUUAACCCGGGAACUGCCGUUGAUACUAUCUGUCUUGAAUAUCGUGGAGGUAAGCGGAAUAUGUCAUGUAGCGGUGAAAUGCUUAGAUAUGACUAGAAACACCCAAUUUGCGUAGGCAGCUUA
rnacentral:rRNA from 1 species